ACUCCUACGGGAGGCAGCAGUGGGGAAUAUUGCACAAUGGGGGAAACCCUGAUGCAGCCAUGCCGCGUGUGUGAAGAAGGCCUUCGGGUUGUAAAGCACUUUCAGUAGGGAGGAAGGUAGUGUAGUUAACACCUGCACUAUUUGUACGUUACCUACAGAAGAAGCACCGGCUAACUCCGUGCCAGCAGCCGCGGUAAUACGGAGGGUGCGAGCGUUAAUCGGAAUUACUGGGCGUAAAGCGCAUGCAGGCGGCCUGUUAAGUCAGAUGUGAAAGCCCGGGGCUUAACCUCGGAAUUGCAUUUGAAACUGGCAGGCUAGAGUCUUGUAGAGGGGUUAGAAUUUCAGGUGUAGCGGUGAAAUGCGUAG
rnacentral:rRNA from 1 species